CAGGCUAACGAUUGAUUUUUGAGAUACAUUUUCCAACAACUCCCACUUGUCCUAAAGCCACUCGACACAGUAUCUAAUACCCAUCUUCGACUUGUGGUUGUCAAACUCCUUUAUCAUCGGGGCUUUAGUGAAGGGGUCGGUCAGGUUCUCCUUUAUUACCAGGACUUUAGUGAAGGGGUUGGCUAGGUUCUCCUUUCUGUCGAUC
rnacentral:lncRNA from 1 species